AUACGGAGGAUGCAAGCGUUAUCCGGAUUUAUUGGGUUUAAAGGGUGCGUAGGCGGUUUGCUAAGCGGGAGGUGAAAUGCCGGCGCUCAACGUCGGAAGUGCCUCCCGAACUGGUGGACUGGAAUGACUCUGCCGUGGGAGGAAUGUGUAGUGUAGCGGUGAAAUGCUUAGAGAUUACACAGAACACCGAUUGCGAAGGCAUCUCACGAAGGGUUGAUUGACGCUGAGGCACGAAAGCGUGGGGAUCAAACAGGAUUAGAUACCCUGGUAGUCCACGCAGUAAACGAUGAUGGCUAACCGCUGGGCUUAUCAGUUCAGUGGCCAAGCGAAAGCGAUAAGCCAUCCACCUGGGGAGUACGACCGCAAGGUUGAAACUCAAAGGAAUGGACGGGG
rnacentral:rRNA from 1 species